GUUCCUCUUAAAGAAAAAAAAAAAUGGAGAGAGGAGAGGGGACCCUCAGACCAGGAAAGGGAACCAGGAUUGAGAGCAGCUCCUGGGUUUGGGGGAGAUGUCAGAAACCCCCCAUCUCCUCUCACCUCUCCCAGUUAGUCCUCUCAUCCCAGGUUCCUGUUUUAGGCCUGUGUAUUCCAGGCUAUUUGAAUGCUGUCCCCACCAUCCAGAAUAUUUUGCCAGCCCCCACUCUGCCUGAUAAAAAUUCUACCAGUUAUGCAAAGCCCGCUCAAAGCCUUGACCGUUCUUCACCUUGAAGCAUUCCUUGCUUAGGUCCUCCUAGCCCCUCGCUCCUUUCUGAUGGUCACAAGCACAUAUUUGUACCUGUGAUGUAAAGUAUGCUGAUUGAAAUCUUUAAUGUACCACAGUGGGUUUUUUGCUGUAUAUCUUUCUCUAACUGGUAUUUCCUUACAGAUUGGGACUUGUGGUCAUCUCUGAUUGCUCCCGUCCUUGAAAAGGAUCUCCAAAUUCACUUUCCAAAUGGACAAAAGGUCAUGGGACCCCACCCCAUUCCAUCCCACCCUCUGUGGGGCGACAGCAGGGGAGAGACAGCUGUGAGGGAGGAAGUGCCCGUCUAUAUCCUUCAAAGUCCCAAAGAAUAUGAGCUCAAGGGUGCUGGCCACACCUCCCAAUCCCACUGUGACAUCAUACAUGUGAGUCACACACCCCAGGGAACCAUUGUGGCUUCACCCUGGGUGAACUCUCUGGAAGUUUCUGCCAACUCUCCCCUAGAUCCUCUGUGCCACAGAUGGUCUCGCAGACAGAGCCCUCGGCUCGUUUGGGGAGCUCUUUCCUUCUCUGAGGGAUGAGGCAGCUGCCCACUUUAAAAUCCUCAUGACAGACUCUGGAAAGGAGGUGUUGGGACCUGGAGUUAGGGAAUGAGCAGGAAGGGGCAUCUGGCAUAUACCCUGGGGCCCCAAAACCCAUGUCCAGGCCCUGGCAGUGACUGUGCAGUGCUUUAAGGGGAGGGCCUCUCACCUGAGCAUGACACACUGAGGGCCCCACUUCAGCAGUAAACAGUAAGGAAGACUGAAGGUAGGAAAUCCAGAUGGCUGAGAGAAGCCCUAAAGGAGAGAUUGGAGGUGGUAUGAAGACAGAGGCUUAAAAGAAGUCUCAGCCCUUAGAACAGGGCUUCACACAAAUAGGCACUCAUGAGGCAAUUAAGGUCUUUGACUCUGGAGCCAGACCCCCUGGGUUCCAAUCACCUGCUGCGUGGAUACCAUGGACAAGUCACUUCACCUUUCUGUGAUUCCAUUUUCUCCUUUAAAAUAGGAAUAAUAAUAAUGUCUCUUAGCACUUGGCGGCUGACACAUAGUAAGUGCUACAUGAGUAUAAGUCGUGACUAUUUAGUAAAGAUGUAGUGAACAUGUAAAUGUCCCAGGCCCUGCAGCAGGGGCUGAGGAUAGAGUUGAACAAGGCAGGCUCCCUGCUGUCCGUAUGUGCUCAGCCCAGGGGGGAGGCAAGUAAACUCCUAAUUGUGGUCCCAUGUGGGGGACACCUAGUCCACCCUCAGGGGAUGAGGGACAGCCUCCUGGAAGGAGCAGCUUGUGGACUUCAUGAGGGUGGGACUUUGUUUUGUCCCCUGCUGCACUUCGAGUGCCUAGAAUGAGACCUGGUGUUCAGAGUAGGAGUUCAGUCAACUUUUGCUGAAUGGACAAAUGAACCAGCUGAGCAAGUUCUUAAAGGAGGAACAGGAUGACAAACAUCCCUUCCAUGGGCCUCAGUCUUCUCAUGUAUAAAAUGAGGGCUUGGAUAGGAGUCCAGAGACCUUCUGGCUAUUCUUGAAAUCCCUGCA